rnacentral:rRNA from 1 species
GAUUAACGCUAGCGGCAGGCAUAAUACAUGCAAGUUGAACGGGAUUAGUUGUAGCAAUAUGACUAUGAGAGUAGCGCACGGGUGCGUAACGCGUAUGCAACCUGCCUUCAUCUGGGGAAUAGCCCCUCGAAAGAGGGAUUAAUACCGCAUAACAUAGUGAGUAGGCAUCUACUUACUAUUAAAACUACGGUGGAUGAAGAUGGGCAUGCGUGACAUUAGCUAGUUGGUAGGGUAAUGGCCUACCAAGGCUACGAUGUCUAGGGGGUCUGAGAGGAUGUCCCCCCACACUGGUACUGAGAUACGGACCAGACUCCUACGGGAGGCAGCAGUAGGGAAUAUUGGUCAAUGGGCGCAAGCCUGAACCAGCCAUGCCGCGUGCAGGAUGACGGCCCUAUGGGUUGUAAACUGCUUUUGUACGGGAAGAAACCUCAUUACGUGUAAUGAGUUGACGGUACCGUGAGAAUAAGGAUCGGCUAACUUCGUGCCAGGCA